UUUUGAAGUAUUUUCUACAUUCUUGCACUCCUGUGCUUUGAUCAUAAUCGGUAGAUGCAGACAGUGGGAGUCCAUCCCUCACACGGACCACAGAGGCAGAUAAAAUCAUAGACAUUGCCAACAGAGUUAACGACAACUUGCACAGAAUGUAAUUUCAUGGAUCUGCAUUUCCUCUGAUGAAGCGAAUAACUUCAUUAGCAGCUAAAGUGAAAACAGGAACGUAACUCCAUGUCCCAUCCUAGGAAUAGGCAGGGAGUACGACGGCACUGCAGGAGGAGCUCAGAAUCCUGUUGCCAGCUCUCGGAAGGAAAAAUAUUCUCUUCACUGAAAUGAUCUUGACGGUUACAGCUCAUCUUGUGCCAUCGGAGCGGAGCGUGGCGCGCCGGCACCCCAACACCGCCACGGCGGCCGCGGAGCACUGUG
rnacentral:lncRNA from 1 species